rnacentral:rRNA from 1 species
UCCGUAGCCGGUUUAGUAAGUUCCUGGUAAAAUCGGGUAGCUUAACUAUCUGUGUGCUAGGAAUACUGCUAAUACUAGAGGGCGGGAGAGGUCUGAGGUACUGCAGGGGUAGGGGUGAAAUCUUAUAAUCCUUGUAGGACCACCAGUGGCGAAGGCGUCAGACUGGAACGCGCCUGACGGUGAGGGACGAAAGCGUGGGGAGCGAACAGGAUUAGAUACCCUGGUAGUCC